UACGGAGGGUGCAAGCGUUAUUCGGAAUUACUGGGCGUAAAGGGCGUGCAGGCGGGAGAGCAAGUCUGAUGUGAAAGCCCGGGGCUUAACCCCGGAAGGGCAUUGGAAACUGCUUUUCUUGAGUUCUGGAGAGGAAGGGAGAAUUCCCGGUGUAGAGGUGAAAUUCGUAGAGAUCGGGAGGAACAUCAGUGGCGAAGGCGCCCUUCUGGACAGCAACUGACGCUGAGACGCGAAAGCGUGGGGAGCAAACAGG
rnacentral:rRNA from 1 species